AAGAUAUCUGCCAAUUCCUAUCCAAGGAGUAUUUGGAAAACUCGCGCCUACACAGCUUCAUUUUUGUAGAGAAUCUCGGAUUGGAGGUGUUGUGUGUCGUUGCUUAUGAAAUUAGGAUCCUUGUGGAGAAUUUAGGCUGAUAGAGAAUUGGCUUCAAAUGGAAGACCUAAGAACUUGCAGGCUGGUGGUUCUUUCCUCAUGAAAGUCUUUCGCGUUCUUGCUGGUAAAUUAUUAAGGGAUGGGACGAAGGUAUUAAAACAAUGAAGCAAGGUUAUCGGCCGUUCAACCUCCAAGUUUGAAGAACGCUUCAGAUAGAGAAUUAGGUAUCGCUGAGUCUCUGCUUCUGGAGUCUCUUUCCUCCGCAAUUAUUGUUAAACUUCUUGAUGUUGCCAAGGUAAAUUUUUUUAAAUUUAUUUUUAUUUUUUAGGUUCAUAUUAGCUUAGCUUGGCUUCAUUUUACCUUAGAUAUAUCUAUUUAUCCACUGUAUUAGAGCUUACAAUGUUCAUAUUAGGACUGUUAAG